rnacentral:rRNA from 1 species
UUAGUAACUGCGAGUGAAGUGGGAAAAGCUCAAAUUUAAAAUCUGGCAGUCUGAUUUUUCAUCUUUGGCUGUCCGAGUUGUAAUCUAGAGAAGUGCUACCUGUGCUGGACCAUGUAUAAGUCUCCUGGGAUGGAGCGUCAUAGAGGGUGAGAAUCCCGUCUUUGACAUGGACUCCCGGUGCGUUGUGGUAUACUUUCAAAGAGUCGAGUUGUUUGGGAAUGCAGCUCUAAAUGGGUGGUAAACUCCAUCUAAAGCUAAAUAUUGGCGAGAGACCGAUAGUGAACAAGUACCGUGAGGGAAAGAUGAAAAGUACUUUGGAAAGAGAGUUAAACAGUAUGUGAAAUUGUUGAAAGGGAAACACUUGAUGUCAGUUGUGUUAGCUAGGGAUCAACCGAGCUCUUUUGCUAGGUGAAUUUCCUGGUCUGACAGGCCAACAUCAGUUUUGACUGCUGGAAAAAGGCGGAAGGAAUGUGGCACCUUUGGGUGUGUUAUAGCUUUCUGUCAAAUGCAGCAGUUGGGACUGAGGGAUGCAGCGUGCCGCAAGGCUGGGUUUCGACCACGUUCGCGCUUAGGAUGUUGGCUUAAUGGCAUUAAUUGACCCGUCUUGAAACACGGACCAAGGAGUCUAACAUGCCUGCGAGUAUUUGGGUGGAUAAACCCUUGUGCGCAAUGAAAGUGAAGAUUGAGAUCCCUGUCAUGGGGAGCAUUGAUGCCCGGACCUGAGCUAUUAGCGACGGAUCUGCGGUCAAGCAUGCAUGUUGGGACCCGAAAGAUGGUGAACUAUGCCUGAAUAGGGUGAAGCCAGAGGAAACUCUGGUGGAGGCUCGUAGCGAUUCUGACGUGCAAAUCGAUCGUCGAAUUUGGGUAUAGGGG